ACAGCGUGGCAAGACUGCUGAGACGCAUAAAGAAAUCUUAGCUGGAAUGCCUUCUCAGAAUCUUGAUUUUCAAAGUGAUGGAUUGGGAGAUCCCAAGCCAUGAAUAAAGGGUGCUCAUCACAGAUGGAACAAUGGCGAGAGCACACCUGGACAGGGGAGGGGCAGGAGUUCUGAUUCCUGACACAGGUUUCCUGGUUGAAUGUUCUGUUGUAGAAGAAUGCAACUGAGUUUUCUAAACAGAUCUUCUUCUUGACAUCCUUGCUGAACGGGCAUGAAGAAUUUAGGAAUAAAGCAGAUCUGAUUUCUAAUUCUGACUUUGCUACUGGCAAAUUGUGUGGACUCAGGAAAGUGACCGGCCCUCUUUAAGACUCAGUGUGCUUACCUCUGAAAUGGAGCUGUCAAUCACAUCUGCCUCACAGGCUUGUUCUGAGGAUGAAGUGAGAAAAUGCCCACGAGGUGCUGGUUGCAGCAGCUGGUGCAUAGAGCUUAAAAAGGAUGCAGUCCCAAAACAUAGAAGGAUUUACUCCAGAUCCAAGCAAUGAGUCAGGAACAGAAAGCCUGAUGCCCUCACCUGGAACUCUCCCUCCUCCCUGGAUGAGGACCUUCCCCAGAAUUGCAGGGCACCCACACAAGACCAAGCAAGUUCAGAGAAAAUUGAAACCUGACUUUAGAGCCUCUGGGAUGUUCACUACACCUCAUUGAACCUGUUUGGUUCACAGUAGAGCUCCAACUACCGUCUACUUCCUGCAACUGGCCUGCUGCCAACUCCCCAGAUCUCUUGUGGAGCUGCCGGAAGAGACAGCCUGCCACAGAAGAAAGCAGCCCUCCUCUUUCAUGGCCUCCCACAUCUUGAAACAAACACAAGCAAACAAAACAAAA
rnacentral:lncRNA from 1 species